UACGGAGGGGGCUAGCGUUGUUCGGAAUUACUGGGCGUAAAGCGCACGUAGGCGGACUGGAAAGUUGGGGGUGAAGUCCCGGGGCUCAACCCCGGAACUGCCUUCAAAACUACCAGUCUAGAGGUCGAGAGAGGUGGGUGGAAUUCCGAGUGUAGAGGUGAAAUUCGUAGAUAUUCGGAGGAACACCAGUGGCGAAGGCGGCUCACUGGCGCGAUACUGACGCUGAGGUGCGAAAGCGUGGGGAGCAAAUAGG
rnacentral:misc_RNA from 1 species